rnacentral:misc_RNA from 1 species
CACGUGAUAACACAUAGGAGCUGUGGCGGAGACGGCAGUACUAGAAACGAAAAGCCAACAAGUGCAAAAAACCAAAAAAACCCACAAAAAACGACUGGGCAGGCUGCUCUCUCUGGCCAGAGUUUGCUUUUGCGAUUUGCCAACCGUAUGUGUGUUAACCAUCGUGAUAAGCGUGGUGAAUCGAGAGUGGGGCGCGCAGCGAUGGCCAGAGAUCUGAGGUUGGCGCCGAAGUGCUUUUUGCAGAUGCAGAUAAUCGUCAAAAGCAAUUCCGAGAGCCACAGGAGCGGGGGUUGGGGUAGUUGGAGCGGUGGAGCGGAGGGUUGGGGGUGGAGCGCCUUGUUGAGAUGAUUACAUCAUCUUUUUGAUUUCAUUUGGUUCUUGUGGCUCUUUUUGGUGGCUCUGUGGGUUCUGGUCCCGGCAGCAAUGUGGUUGGAUCCAGAAGAGACCGAGCUUGGCCGCCGAAAAAGAAACGUGGUUGCUACAGGGUCUCCAGACGAUGAGACAGGCACAUUUGAGACAUAGCGUGUCUUCAAAGCGAGUAUGGCGAUGGUUGGCUGACGACCAUGUGUAGAACGAUUUGAUUGUUGGAGCACCCAAUCGUCUCGCGACUGUUGACUUGGUACUGUUGACUCGCGACUGUUGAACCAUCUCCCAGUUGUCUCCGGUUGUGUGUCCAGCUAUGUCCCCUGCCCCUCAUUGACCACCGUUAAACGGUUGCUGAGUUGUCUGCCGGUUGCACACUGCUAGCACCGUGACAUUGCAAAUACCACUCGACUAGCCAGGGCAAGGUGGUGGAGGGGUGAUGGAGGGGAACCAGAAGCUGCGCGAGCGGUAGCGGGGCUGUUCUAUACAGCGGACUGCAGCCCUGACUCGGUAGAUAGCCCGCUGCCGAAAAUCCGAGCUGUAACCGGGUCGGAGCUGGCCAGCCGCUCUUGACAUCGGCUCGAUUGACACCUUCCACUGCAGCUUCACUCGUUUGACAGCUGUCAGUGGCCAGGGGUAUAAUAUCGAUACGAGUGUAGCAGUGACAUUGGAGGCGAGACGUUUGACAGCGAGAUGAAGACUGCCACGUCGGACUUGUGGAGGUGCCGUUGGCAGAUCGAGGAAUAGUAGUGACGAAGUUGGAAGGUCAGAAGAAAGCCGAGGAGAAGAAAGACGAGGAGAAGAAAGACGAGGAGAAGAAAGAGAAGACAAAGAAGGGCUGCUCAAGUCGAUAGCGGUAACUGAGGGGAACUCAGAACGUGAACCAUGCCCCGACCCACCGUAUGAACAAUGCUCUGAACUACUGUAUGUGCAUGCUCAUGAAAAGGCUCGUACUAGAGUGACCAGAUGAGAGGGUGGAUACAUACUGAGUAACUGGUGGAUAUCGAGUAGAUGAUACAUCAGUCAGCUGACACCAGUGAACACAGCCAACUCAGCAACUCAGCAACUCAGUCGUUCAGCAACUCAGCAACUCAGUCAUCGACCAACUCACCAGCUCACCAACUCACCAACUCACCAACUCACCAGCUCACCAACUCACCAACUCACCAACUCAGUCUUCCGCUAAUCACCAAUCACAUGACUGUGGCUUACUACUCAUUUCCCUACCACUUGACCACUUUUUUUUCGUUUUCACACGGUGCUAACUCGAAACACCUAAGACCAACAAAGCCAUCCUAUUACUCAUCAUUGGCGCGUGUCUAGUGCCAUUACCGGUACGGAAACUGCUACCAGUACUCAUGGUCCAUGAUCUACAUAUGAUGACAAAUCCAACCUCCAACUCCCACUCCAACUCCAACUCCAACUCCAACUCCAACUCCAACUCCAACUCCAACUCCAACUCCAACUCCAACUCCAACUCCAACCGCCAAGAGCGCUGCUCCGUUCUGGGCUGCGUCGAAUAACACAAAACCAAACCACGGCCAUCUCAAUCCACGCUAACCCCUUCUGCCUUGUCCACUACCGGCACAUGCUCACUCCCAGAACCUCCUUCCGCUACGCUGGGAAUGUUACAUUGCAAUACGAGUGAACGUGGAGACGAGCGCGGUUAACAUGGCUGGUUGUUUGGCCGGUCUUUUGGCCGGUCGCUAGGCUGCUCCCCAGCCAGUCCUCCUCCUCCUGGGUCCUCCUUCUCCCCCCCCCCCCCAACUACACAAACCACUAAAUAUACACGUUUAUUUUA